rnacentral:rRNA from 1 species
AUUGAACGCUGGCGGCAUGCCUUCCACAUGCAAGUCGAACGGAUUGAAGGGGCUUGCUCCUUCAGUUAGUGGCGAACGGGUGAGUAAAGCAUCGGAACGUACCCAGUCGUGGGGGAUAACGUAGCGAAAGUUACGCUAAUACCGCAUACGAUCUGAGGAUGAAAGCGGGGGAUCGCAAGACCUCGAGCGAUUGGAGCGGCCGCUGGCGGAUUAGGUAGUUGGUGGGGUAAAGGCUCACCAAGGCGACGAUCCGUAGCUGGUCUGAGAGGAUGAUCAGCCACACUGGAACUGAGACACGGUCCAGACUCCUGCGGGAGGCGGCAGUGGGGAAUUUUGGACAAUGGGGGAAACCCUGAUCCAGCCAUGCCGCGUGAGUGAAGAAGGCCUUCGGGUUGUAAAGCUCUUGCAGUCGGAAAGAAAAGGCUCCGGAUAAUACCUGGAGUUGAUGACGGUACCGACAGAAGAAGCACCGGCUAACUACGUGCCAGCAGCCGCCGCCG